GACGAACGCUGGCGGCGUGCUUAACACAUGCAAGUCGAACGGAAAGGCCCUGCUUGCAGGGUACUCGAGUGGCGAACGGGUGAGUAACACGUGGGUGAUCUGCCCUGCACUUCGGGAUAAGCUUGGGAAACUGGGUCUAAUACCGGAUAGGAGCCAUCUUUAGUGUGGUGGUUGGAAAGUUUUUUCGGUGUAGGAUGAGCUCGCGGCCUAUCAGCUUGUUGGUGGGGUAAUGGCCUACCAAGGCGGCGACGGGUAGCCGGCCUGAGAGGGUGUACGGCCACAUUGGGACUGAGAUACGGCCCAGACUCCUACGGGUGGCAGCAGUGGGGAAUAUUGCACAAUGGGCGCAAGCCUGAUGCAGCGACGCCGCGUGGGGGAUGAAGGCCUUCGGGUUGUAAACUCCUUUCGCUAGGGACGAAGCUUUUUGUGACGGUACCUAGAUAAGAAGCACCGGCUAACUACGUG
rnacentral:rRNA from 1 species